rnacentral:snRNA from 1 species
GAACGCGCGUUCGGUUGC